UACGUAGGGUGCAAGCGUUGUCCGGAAUCAUUGGGCGUAAAGAGCGUGUAGGCGGCCUCGUAAGUCCGCUGUGAAAGUCCAGGGCUCAACCCUGGGAUGCCGGUGGAUACUGCGAGGCUAGAGUCCGGAAGGGGCGAGUGGAAUUCCUGGUGUAGCGGUGAGAUGCGCAGAUAUCAGGAGGAACACCAAUGGCGAAGGCAGCUCGCUGGGACGGUACUGACGCUGAGACGCGAAAGCGUGGGGAGCAAACAGG
rnacentral:rRNA from 1 species